rnacentral:rRNA from 1 species
AUUGAACGCUGGCGGCAGGCUUAACACAUGCAAGUCGAACGAGUGGCGGACGGGUGAGUAAUGUCUGGGAAACUGCCUGAUGGAGGGGGAUAACUACUGGAAACGGUAGCUAAUACCGCAUACCAUCAGAUGUGCCCAGCAGGGAUUAGCUAGUAGGUGGGGUAACGGCUCACCAAGGCGACGAUCCCUAGCUGGUCUGAGAGGAUGACCAGCCACACUGGACCUGAGCCACGGUCCAGACUCCUACGGGAGGCAGCAGUGGGGAAUAUUGCACAAUGGGCGCAAGCCUGAUGCAGCCAUGCCGCGUGUGUGAAGAAGGCCUUCGGGUUGUAAAGUACUUUCAGCGAGGAGGCGUUACCCGCAGAAGAAGCACCGGCUAACUCCGUGCCAGCAGCCGCGGUAAUUC